GUCCGCGUAGCUCAGCAGGAUAGAGCACAGGAUUCCUAAGUUUGAAUUGGGCGCUAUGGCAGGAAACUCCAUAGUGGAUUCGCUCAAAUUCGGGGAACGCUCUGACUUUCUUGAGUCGUGCCAAUCCCGAGCCAAGCUCCCUGCCGUGGCAGAGAGAAGGUGUAGAGACUGUACGGGCGACACCUGGGCCCUCAGAAAGCCUUGGUGAAGAGACAGUCCAGACCACGAACGCACUUAAUCAAAAGUGCGGCGGCGAAAGCCGAAGUGGUAUGAAUCCUGGGGCCGGAGGUUCGAAUCCUCUCGCGGACACCA
rnacentral:tRNA from 1 species